GGCGAACGCUGGCGGCGUGCUUAACACAUGCAAGUCGAGCGGUAAGGCUCCUUCGGGAGUACACGAGCGGCGAACGGGUGAGUAACACGUGAGUAAUCUGCCCUUCACUUCGGGAUAACCACCGGAAACGGUGGCUAAUACCGAAUACGACCAGUCUUCGCAUGAGGUGCUGGUGGAAAGUCUUUUCGGUGAAGGAUGUGCUCGCGGCCUAUCAGCUUGUUGGUGGGGUAAUGGCCUACCAAGGCUUCGACGGGUAGCCGGCCUGAGAGGGUGACCGGCCACACUGGGACUGAGACACGGCCCAGACUCCUACGGGAGGCAGCAGUGGGGAAUAUUGGACAAUGGGCGAAAGCCUGAUCCAGCAACGCCGCGUGAGGGAUGACGGCCGUCGGGUUGUAAACCUCUUUCAGUACCGACGAAGCGCCCUGUCGGGUGGUGACGGUAGGUACAGAAGAAGGACCGGCCAACUACGUG
rnacentral:rRNA from 1 species